AACGCACGAGACCUGCGGACCUGCGGAAGGAUCAUUACCGAGUGUAGCCCCCCGAUAAAAAGGGGGGCACCUCCCGUCCUUUGCUGGGUCCCCCUUUUGUAGGGGCUUUCGACUUUCUGCUUCGGCGGGGUUACCCGCCGGAACACCCUCAAAAAUCUUUUGUUAAAACUGUUCAGUCCGAGGGCUUUUUUAAAUUUAUGAAAAACUUUCAACAAUGGAUCUCUAGAUCGGAAGAGCACA
rnacentral:misc_RNA from 1 species